UCACUUCAGCAGUGCAUAUACUAAAAUUGGAAUGAUACAGAAAAGAUUUGCAUGGCCCCUGCACA
ensembl:snRNA U6 U6 spliceosomal RNA